ACGGAAGGGGCACCCCCAGGAGUGGGACCUGCGGCUUAAUUUGACUCAACACGGGAAAACUCACUCGGGGGGGCGCUGGAAGGAUUGACAGAUUGAAAGCUCUUUCUUGAUUCAGUAGGGUGGUGGUGCAUGGCCGUUCUUAGUUGGUGGAGUGAUUUGUCUGGUUAAUUCCGAUAACGAACGAGCCUCUAGCCUGCUAACUAGUUCGCCGAUUCUUUUGAAUCGCGCGUCGCUCCGUUGGGCUUCGGUUCGGCGGGGCUAACUUCUUAGAGGGACAGGUGGCGUUUAGUCACACGAAGUAGAGCAAUAACAGGUCUGUGAUGCCCUUAGAUGUCCGAGGCCGCACGCGCGUCACACUGAAUGAAUCAACGUGGAUGCUCACCUGCUCCGAGAGGAGUAGGAAACCCGAUGAAUCUCAUUCGUGAUGGGGAUUGGGGCUUGUAAUUGUUCCCCAUGAACGAGGAAUUCCCAGUAAGCGUCAGUCAUAAGCUGGGCGUUGAUUACGUCCCUGCCCUUUGUACACACCGCCCGUCGCUACUACCGAUUGAAUGGUUUAGUGAGACCCUCGGACUGGAGUCUGCUGGGGUGGCCUCUUCGGGGGGUCACCUGCGGGGGACGGAAAGACGGGUCGAACUUGAUCCAUUUUAGAGGAAGUAAAAAGUCGUAACAAGGGUU
rnacentral:rRNA from 1 species